UAGAAUGAAGCUCGCUGGAUAGAGUUUUUAGCUGUUAACUAAGAUAUCGCGGGAUCAAAGCCCGUCAUUCUAG
rnacentral:tRNA from 1 species